rnacentral:rRNA from 1 species
UACGGGGGGAGCAAGCGUUGUUCGGAUUUACUGGGCGUAAAGGGCGCGUAGGCGGCGCAACAAGUCACUUGUGAAAUCUUCAGGCUUAACCUGAAGCGGCCAAGUGAUACUGUCGUGCUAGAGUGCGGAAGGGGCAACUGGAAUUCUUGGUGUAGCGGUGAAAUGCGUAGAUAUCAAGAGGAACACCUGCGGCGAAGGCGGGUUGCUGGGCCGACACUGACGCUGGAGGCGCGAAAGCUAGGGGAGCGAACGGG